GCCCCUGUAGCGCAAUGGGUAGCGUCUUGAACUCUUAAUACAAAGGUCGUGGGUUCGAAUCCCAUCUAGGAUG